rnacentral:rRNA from 1 species
AAAGUAAAAUUUAUAAUACUAAUUAUUAUAUAUGUGUGUGCUUUUUACUAAUUUUUUUGAGGAUAAGCUCAAAAAAAAGUUAAGAUUUACUUCUAAUUAAAUUUGCUGUGUAGAUUUAAAAUUGAUCACCCCAAAAGUUUUUUAUAAAAUAGUAAUCUUAGUUUUAUAAAUAAAUAUAGUUUGAACUAACUUUUUACGGGGAUAAAGACUUUAACAAAAAAAGUUUUAUGCCUAUGCUAGGAUGAGUAUUAAAAUUUAAUUAUGAAAGAAAUUUAUGUAUAUUUAUUUUUCUCUAAGUUUUUUUAAAAAAAUUAAUUAAUCAGAAGGAACUCGGCAAAUUUAGUUGUUCCGCCUGUUUAGCAAAAACAUGGCUCUUUGACUAUACAAACAUAAAGAGUCGAGCCUGCCCAGUGAAUUUUUUUUUAACGGCCGCGGUACUCUGACCGUGCAAAGGUAGCAUAAUCAUUUGCCUUAUAAUUGAAGGCUAGUAUGAACGGUUUGACGAGAACAACACUGUCUCCUUUUUAUUUUCAAGAAUUUAACUUUUAGGUGAAGAGGCCUAAAUUUUAUUGAAGGACAAGAAGACCCUGUCGAGCUUAAAAGAUAUUGUAGGAUCUUAUAUAUGUUUAAAUAAAUUUCUAUUAGGCUUUUUAGUUGGGGCGACUAAGGAACAAAAAAAGCUUCUUGUUAAUAGUAAACAAUCACGUUUAGAUCCGAUAGCAAUCGAUUAAAGGAAUUAGUUACCGCAGGGAUAACAGCAUAAUCUUUCUUGAGAGACCUAAUCGAAAGAAGGGCUUGUGACCUCGAUGUUGGACUAGAAUAUCCUAAAGAUGCAGAAGUCUUUAAAGG